ACGGAAGGCAGCAGUGGGGAAUAUUGGGCAAUGGGGGGAACCCUGACCCAGCAACGCCGCGUGAAGGAAGAAGGCCCUCGGGUUGUAAACUUCUUUUACCAGGGACGAAUAAAUGACGGUACCUGGAGAAAAAGCAACGGCUAACUACGUGCCAGCAGCCGCGGUAAUACGUAGGUUGCAAGCGUUGUCCGGAAUUACUGGGUGUAAAGGGAGUGUAGGCGGGACUGUAAGUCAGAUGUGAAAUAUGCCGGCUCAACUGGCAGACUGCAUUUGAAACUGCGGUUCUUGAGUGAAGUAGAGGUAAGCGGAAUUCCUAGUGUAGCGGUGAAAUGCGUAGAUAUUAGGAGGAACAUCAGUGGCGAAGGCGGCUUACUGGGCUUUAACUGACGCUGAGGCUCGAAAGCGUGGGGAGCAAACAGGAUUAGAUACCCUGGUA
rnacentral:rRNA from 1 species